rnacentral:rRNA from 1 species
UACGUAGGUGGCGAGCGUUGUCCGGAUUUAUUGGGUUUAAAGGGUGCGUAGGCGGCUUAUUAAGUCAGUGGUGAAAUAUCGCAGCUCAACUGUGAGGGUGCCAUUGAUACUGAUGAGCUUGAGUCAAGUCGAGGUAGGCGGAAUUGACGGUGUAGCGGUGAAAUGCUUAGAUAUCGUCAAGAACACCGAUAGUGAAGACAGCUUACUAGGCUUGAACUGACGCUGAGGCACGAAAGUGUGGGGAUCAAACAGG